GUAGUCCAUGCCGUAAACGAUGAUAACUAGGUGUUGGGGGGAUAUAACCUUCAGUACCGUAGCACACGCGCUAAGUUAUCCGCCUGGGGAGUACGGCCGCAAGGCUAAAACUUAAAGGAAUUGACGGGGGCCCGCACAAGAGGUGGAGUAUGUGGUUUAAUUCGAAGCAACGCGAAGAACCUUACCUGGGUUUGACAUCCCGUGAAAAGUACAGAGAUGUAUAAUAGUAGCGAUACACACGGAGACAGGUGCUGCAUGGCUGUCGUCAGCUCGUGUCGUGAGAUGUUGGGUUAAGUCCCGCAACGAGCGCAACCCUUACCCUUAUUUAGCAUCAUUAAGUUGGCAACUAUAGGGGGACCGCCGGUGAUAAACCGGA
rnacentral:rRNA from 1 species